rnacentral:rRNA from 1 species
UAGGGAAUUUUCGGCAAUGGGGGAAACCCUGACCGAGCAACGCCGCGUGAGUGAAGAAGGCCUUCGGGUUGUAAAGCUCUGUUGUAAGGGAAGAAGAGAUCAUAGAGGGAAUGCUAUGAUUGUGACGGUACCUUACCAGAAAGCCACGGCUAACUACGUGCCAGCAGCCGCGGUAAUACGUAGGUGGCGAGCGUUAUCCGGAAUUAUUGGGCGUAAAGGGUGCGUAGGCGGCACAUUAAGUCUAAGGUUAAAGUUCGAGGCUCAACUUCGGAUUGCCUUAGAAACUGGUGAGCUAGAGUGCAGGAGAGGGCAAUGGAAUUCCAUGUGUAGCGGUAAAAUGCGUAGAUAUAUGGAGGAACACCAGUGGCGAAGGCGGUUGCCUGGCCUGUAACUGACGCUG